rnacentral:rRNA from 1 species
AUUGAACGCUGGCGGCAGGCCUAACACAUGCAAGUCGAGCGGAUGAAGGGAGCUUGCUCCUGGUUUCAGCGGCGGACGGGUGUGUAAUGCCUAUGAAUCUGCUUGGUUUUGGUGGAUAACGUCUUCAAACGGGUGCUAAUACCGCAUACGUCCUGAGGGUGCAAGUUGGGGAUCUUCGGACCUCACGCUCUCAGAUGAGUCUAGGUCGGAUUAGCUAGUUGGUCGGGUAAAGGCCUACCAAGGCGACGAUCCGUAACUGGUCUGAGAGGAUGAUAAGUCACACUGGAACUGGGACGCGGUCCAGACUCCUAAGGGAGGCAGCAGUGGGGAAUAUUGGACAAUGGGCGAGAGCCUGAUCCAGCCAUGCCGCGUGUGUGAAAGAGGUCUUCGGAUUGUAAAGCACUUUAAGGUGGGAGGAAGGGCAGUAAGUUAAUACCUUGCUGUUUUGACGUUAACAACAGAAGAAGCACCGGCUAACUUCGUG